GUGUGCUAUUUAAGUCAACGCAUCUUGUUUGUUUGCCUAAUGUUCUUAAUAAUUCAAGGCCAUUAAUCAUUUGAACUAAUUGCUGUACUCUCUCGCAGAUCUUCUGUGAAACAUGGAACAUAUCAGCCACACACAUGUGGAAGUAAAUGGGCUAAAACUACAUGUGGCAGAGAUUGGCACUGGUCCUAAGGUUGUGUUGUUCCUGCAUGGAUUCCCACAAAUAUGGUACACAUGGAGGUAUCAAAUGAUUGCUGUUGCGAAAGCUGGAUAUAGAGCAAUAGCCUAUGAUUUUAGGGGCUAUGGGCUCUCAGAGCUUCCAGCUGAACCUGAGAAAGGGGGCUUCAUUGACCUUGUUGAGGAUACGAUUGCCCUUCUUGACACUCUUGGCAUCAGUAAGGAACCUUUGAGGGAUGCUUGGUUUAGAUGCCAUCAAGCAAAAAGAUUUGACCAAUCUACCGCACAACUUUUGUUCUUGCGCAUACAUGAACUGAAAUGUAAUAUAUACCUGCAUCGAUGCCAGGCCUUUCUAGUCGGUACAGACCUGGGAUCAUUUCCAGCAUACAUGAUAGCUGUUCUUUACCCGGAGAGGGUUACCAGUUUAGUAUCACUAGGUGUUCCAUUCAGGCUACCAGGGCCCAGAGAUGACAUUGAUCUGAUGCCCGAAGGUUUCUACUGCAAAAGGUGGCAGGAGCCAGGCAGAGCUGAAGCAGAUUUCGGGCGAUUUGAUGUUAAGACAGUGAUAAAAAACAUCUACAUUCUCUUCUCUGGAACUAAGCCACCAACAGCUAGAGAGGACCAAGAGAUCAUGGACAUGGUUGACCCGUCUACUCCUCUACCACCAUGGUUCUCUGAAGAAGAUCUUGCAGUCUAUGCAUCCUUGUACGAGAAGUCUGGAUUUCGCUAUUCAUUGCAGGUUCCAUACAGGACUAUAGGCAUAGAUUGCUGUGGAAUAACUAAUCCAAAAGUUUUGGCACCAACAUUGCUGAUUAUGGGUGAGAAGGACUAUGUGCUUGGUUUCCCGGGUAUGGUAGAAUACAUAAAGAGUGACCUUCUGAAGCAUAUAGUUCCAGAUUUGGACAGUGUCUUUCUGGAAGAAGGGAACCAUUUUGUUCAUGAGAAACUUCCAGAGCAGGUGAAUGAGAUAAUGAUCAACUUCCUCAACAAACAUAGAAAGUGAAGACAAGUAUCGAUGAGCAGCUGAAGUUAUGCAAUGUUAUCCUUUCACGAUAAUAAAAAGUGAGCAACGGAUGUAACUGGAUACAUCUGAUCCAAGAAUCCAAAGGAUUCUCUGAAGAUAAAUCCCUACCUGGUAAGAGAUCAGGAUAGUGAUUGUAGCUUAAGGAACAAAGCUGAAGGAUCUGUUUUCAGCUCUC